CACGUAGGGGGCGAGCGUUGUCCGGAUUUAUUGGGCGUAAAGAGCUCGUAGGCGGCUCAGUAAGUCGGGUGUGAAACCUCCAGGCCCAACCUGGAGACGCCACCUGAUACUGCUGUGGCUGGAGUCCGGUAGGGGAGCGUGGAAUUCCUGGUGUAGCGGUGAAAUGCGCAGAUAUCAGGAGGAACACCAGUGGCGAAGGCGACUUCCUGGCCUGUUCUUGACGCUGAGGCGCGAAAGCUAGGGGAGCAAACGGG
rnacentral:rRNA from 1 species